GCGCCGACCUCCAACCCUUUGUCGAUAUUAACUGUUGCCUCGGGGGGCGACCCGGCCGUCCGCGCCCGGGAGUCCCCCAGAGGACCAAUCAACCCUGCAUCUUUGCGUCGAGUAUUGAAUACAAAUCAAUCAAAACUUUUAACAACGGAUCUCUUGGUUCUGGCAUCGAUGAAGAACGCAGCGAAAUGCGAUAAGUAAUGUGAAUUGCAGAAUUCAGUGAAUCAUCGAAUCUUUGAACGCACAUUGCGCCCUUUGGCAUUCCGAAGGGCAUGCCCGUUCGAGCGUCAUUACACCAAUCAAGCCUGGCUUGGUAUUGGGCGUCGGGAGACCCCGCGCCCCCAAUUCUCCGGCUGGACGGUUCGAAUCUCAGCGUUGUGGUUAUUCAAUUCGCUGGCGAGGACGACCGGACGCGCCGUUAAACCUCUAUCACAGGUUGACCUCGGAUCAGGUAGGGAUACCCGCUGAACUUAAGCAUAUCAAUAAGCGGAGGAA
rnacentral:rRNA from 1 species